GCACAAGCAGUAAAGACCAGCUACAUAAAAUGGAAAAGUGGACAGCUAUCUGCUGUUUUAGCACGCUUUGCAUGCAGAGGAGAUGCAGACGGCAAAGAAGGAAAGGGUUAAAGCCAAAACCGACAAAGAAUGGCAGCUGGCGGUAGUGCAAGCCGUGUCGAGGCCGGGGGGGCUAUUCUGCUCAGCAAAACCAGCAAUCGAAAGGGGGGAGAUGGAAAAGAGGAGGAGGAAGAUAUCGGAAUGAAACUGAAAGAAACUCUGAAAGGUGGGGUUGUUGGAUCUGCGAGACUGAUGAACAUGAGAUAUUGAAUUGUACCAGAUGCAGACUGUGCAAAAAGGACGAUCAUUGGGCGAGGGAAUGCCCGGAGAACCAGCGAAAUCAACAAGCAGACUGAAGCGAGGGAGACGGAGAGCAGAGAGGAGGGGUCCAGGGCGAGCGACCAACAGUCACAACAAACUGGACCCAGUUACAGAAGGCCUGCCACACUGUCUGAGGGUGCUGUUAGCUGCUGAGAAGGCUGUGAUGGCUUCUAGAGAAUUCGUAGGUUACUCUGAUUUGACAUUGAUGGUGUCUCACGCAGUGACCAUAAUUUAGCAGGAACAGAAAACAUAACGAUGGUUAAGAUAUCAUACUAUUCUGCUUGAUAUGACUAACAUCACUGUUAAGUGAUGCACAACCUUGAAUGUUGCUACUCUCCUUCCAACAGAAGAGGAUGGAGAAAAGCAUCAUUGUUGUUUAACAGCACUUGAACAAGUGUGUACGCCACGUCCAGACCUGUCUGACGUGCCAUGUGAAAAUUGUGAAAAUGUCCUCUUUGUGGAUGGCUCAGCUUUUAAAGAUCCACAAACAGGCCUGAAUAAGGUUGGUUAUGAGAUAACUGAAUUGGACAUUGUGACCUCUGGCUCAUUGCCAUCAAAUUAUUCGGCACAAGCAGCUGAGCCUGUGGCAUUAACAGAAGCAUGCAAACUAAUGACAGACAAAUGUGUAACGAUUUACACAGAUUCACGAUAUGCAUUUGGGGAUACUCAUGAUUUUGGGGCGCUGUGGAAACACAGAAAGUUUUUAAAGUCAGAUGAGCGACCAAUAUUAAAUGCACCCCUCGUGGCAGAUUUGUUAGACGCUAUUGUGCUUCCAAAAAAGAUAGCGAUUUGUAAAUGCGCAGCGCAUACUAAUAACAAAGAUUCUGUAUCUACAGGAAACGCCAGAGCAGACGCAGCGUCGAAGGCUGCAGCAACGCAGCAGACAAAAUCAUCAGAGUGUACUUUGUUAUCUGAAAAUAACCCUGACAUUUCUUCAUCUUUACAGGGCAUGCAGACAUUUGCGACAGGGCAGGAGAGAGAGAAAUGGAAACAGUGUGGCUAUGAGGUGGUGAAUGGAGUAUGGAUGAGCAGAGAUGGCAAGCCUUGUUUACCCAAACACUUCUUUCGUCGAUGCAUGGAAAAGACCACGCAUUGAAAGGGGGAAUUAUUAUGUGAAUUAAAGAAUUGUGGUUUACAAAGGGGUUCAAAAUUGAUGCAGAAAAUAUUUGAAAAAAGAUGUGUCAUUUGUAAUACACAUAAUGUGGCAAGAGGCAUAAAAAUGUCUCAGGUAUCCCAGACAGCGCCGAUGGAUUUCAUUGAACUGUUCCCAUGUGAAGGGAAGGAAAAAGGGUUUGGUAUUUGUGGACAUGUGGUCCAAAUGGGUAGAGGUCUGCCCAAUGUCCAAACAGGAUGCAGCAGCAGUAGUAAGGGCUCUGCUGACUGAAAUAGUCCCGAGAUGGGGAAAUUCCACGAAAAAGCAGUUCGGGCAAUGGAACACAUUUUGUGUAGGGGCAAUAAAAACCUAACUGGUUAAGUGUUGUGAGAAAACUGGAGAAUGUACAUGAGAAUGAGAAAUCGAUCCAGAGUAAACCUGAGCCCUUUUGAAAUUCUCUUUGGCUAUACACCAUUUGUGAGUAUUGAAGGGGUUAAACAACAGCUACCAUCUACAGGUGUGUGAGCAUGACACGUUGAGUUAUCGCAAGGAAAUGUCUUCUCUGUUGUCUAAUGUCUGUGUUCAGGUGAAAGCUGCUCAGGAGAAGGGUGCUGAAACACGACCUGAAACCAGGAGAUUUCGUGGUGGUACGAGAUCUGAGGAGAAAGAGCAGGAAGGCGAAAAGGUGGCUGGGACCGUUCCAGGUGCUUCUGACCAGUCACACGGCUGUGAAGGGAGCAGAGAGAGCAACGUGGAUCCAGGCUAGUCACUGCAGAAAGGUCCCACAGAAAGGAUCUGGAGACACACGUCAACAAGGCCAAGAAUCCAGCCUAAACAUCAAUCGUCCUUAUCAGCGGGAAGAGCAAGAUUAAGACUGAAAAACAGCAUCGAAGUAGUCUGCGCGCAAGUGAAAAGAUAAAUAUGAGCAUCAUAGUUGGGUACAUCAUGUUGUUUUCAUAUUUCAGACUACAGUGACAACGUUAUCAAUAUCAUCACCCACAUGAGAAUGGCCGUAAAAGAGCCUGAACGUACACAUAAUGCUGCUAAAUGAUUUUUGCUGCUAUUAUGUCUACCAUGUAUUUUUUUAGUUGAGAUCCAGCUCAAUGAAGGGGCGACACCUGGGGGGAAAACAGAUGUCUGAGAAUGACCUGAAAGGGUCAUUGGGCCAUAUAGUGGGGGGACAAUGUCUGAGGAUGACCUGAGGGGGUCACCUAAGUCCUAAAUAUGUGAGAAACCGCCCAUAGAGAGUGUUCCUUGUUAUUUGUGGAAAGUUACAGCUGUUGAGACUCUGUAACCUUGAAGCAGCAGAGGUAUAUAAGGUGGAGGACUGCCCUCUUCCUGGGUCGCUUUCACUCUGCAGGAACUCAGUGUUGCUGUAUGACUGUCUGACCUUCUUUGCAAAGAAUAAAAGCUUGCUUUUUAAUUAUA